rnacentral:rRNA from 1 species
CCUGCCCACUGAUUAAUUAAAUGGCCGCAGUAUUUUGACUGUGCAAAGGUAGCAUAAUCAUUAGUUUUUUAAUUAGAAGCUUGUAUGAAGGGUUGGACGAGGUAAAAUCUGUCUCUAUUUAAUUUAUUUUAGAAUUUAAUUUUUAAGUUAAAAAGCUUAAAUUUUAGUAAAAGACGAGAAGACCCUAUAGAUCUUAAUAUUUUUUUAAUUAAUUUUAUUUAGGAUUUUUUUAUUUUUUAUUUGGGGAAUUAUUUUAUUGGGGUAAUAAAGAGAUUGAAUUAAUUCUUUUUUUUCUGUAAUAUAAAUUAAUAGUUAUUUGAUCCAAUUAUUUUGAUUAUAAGAUUAAGUUACCUUAGGGAUAACAGCGUAAUUUUUUUAGAGAGUUCAUAUCGAUAAAAAAGUUUGCGACCUCGAUGUUGGAUUAAAAAUUAUUU